CCGCAAUUGAAAAUAUAAUCACGAUAAAAAAAUAUCGUAACUACCUUAAUUUACCUUAUCAGAGUUAAUAGUACCAGUAAUGAAGUUAACUUUAUGUUUCAAACAUUAAAAUCACUUCAACUUGGAAACUUAGAUUAAAAAGAAAACAUGAUAAAAAAAUCCUUUUUACUCUGCAUAUUGGUUUAUGCUUUAUUUCGUGUGAUAGAAGGAAACUUCUGGCCGCCAUAUUAUCACGACCUGGUAAGAGAUUUCAUGGUGCCACCUGUGUAUAAUCUAGAAGUGUCUAACGCAGUCCCCGAUUUGACUAAGAUAAAGAACUGCUCAAUGUGCCCCAGAGUGUACUGGCCAGUUUGUGCCAAGGACAAUAUAUCAUAUUUCAAUCAUUGUGUACUGAAAUGUCUAAACAAAAGUAGCCUAUACAGGCGAGACGGGGUUUGUAUCAACUAUAGAAGAAAUUUAAAUAUGAACACAAGUAUAAUAAACUUGAUAUUGCCCAAAGACGUGGCUAAGAAUGAAUCCCAACAUAAAUAUGAGCAUACGGCGUUUACGAAGGACAUAACUUUCUACAGCGCAACGUUCCUUAAUCAAUAAAGUUUCGAAAUAGAU